rnacentral:rRNA from 1 species
CCCCCAGACUCCUACGGGAGGCAGCAGUGAGGAAUAUUGGUCAAUGGGCUUACGCCUGAACCAGCCAAGUCGCGUGAGGGAAGACUGCCCUAUGGGUUGUAAACCUCUUUUGUCAGGGAGCAAUUGGCGCUACGUGUAGCGUUAUCGAGAGUACCUGAAGAAAAAGCAUCGGCUAACUCCGUGCCAGCAGCCGCGGUAAUACGGAGGAUGCGAGCGUUAUCCGGAUUUAUUGGGUUUAAAGGGUGCGUAGGCGGAAUGCCAAGUCAGCGGUAAAAUCGCGGGGCUCAACCUCGCUCCGCCGUUGAAACUGGCGGGCUGGAGUUGGAGAGAAGUACGCGGAAUGCGCGGUGUAGCGGUGAAAUGCUUAGAUAUCGCGCAGAACCCCGAUUGCGAAGGCAGCGUACCGGCUCCACACUGACGCUGAGGCACGAAAGCGUGGGUAUCGAACAGGAUUAGAUACCCGGGUAU